rnacentral:rRNA from 1 species
GCUGUCGUCAGCUCGUGUUGUGAAAUGUUGGGUUAAGUCCCGCAACGAGCGCAACCCUUAUCCUUUGUUGCCAGCACGUAAUGGUGGGAACUCAAAGGAGACUGCCGGUGAUAAACCGGAGGAAGGUGGGGAUGACGUCAAGUCAUCAUGGCCCUUACGAGUAGGGCUACACACGUGCUACAAUGGCAGAUACAAAGAGAAGCGACCUCGCGAGAGCAAGCGGAACUCAUAAAGUCUGUCGUAGUCCGGAUUGGAGUCUGCAACUCGACUCCAUGAAGUCGGAAUCGCUAGUAAUCGUAGAUCAGAAUGC